UACGUAGGGUGCAAGCGUUUAAUCGGAAUUACUGGGCGUAAAGCGUGCGCAGGCGGUUGGGCAAGACAGAUGUGAAAUCCCCGGGCUCAACCUGGGAAUGGCAUUUGUGACUGUCCGGCUAGAGUGUGUCAGAGGGGGGUAGAAUUCCACGUGUAGCAGUGAAAUGCGUAGAGAUGUGGAGGAAUACCGAUGGCGAAGGCAGCCCCCUGGGAUAACACUGACGCUCAUGCACGAAAGCGUGGGGAGCAAACAGG
rnacentral:rRNA from 1 species